rnacentral:rRNA from 1 species
ACAGUAUAUAAGAGUUUGAUCCUGUGUCAGAUUGAACGCUGGCGGCAUGCUUUACACAUGCAAGUCGAACGGCAGCGCGGGGCAACCUGGCGGCGAGUGGCGAACGGGUGAGUAAUAUAUCGGAACGUACCCAAGAGUGGGGGAUAACGUAGCGAAAGUUACGCUAAUACCGCAUACGAUCCAAGGAUGAAAGUGGGGGACCGCAAGGCCUCACGCUCCUGGAGCGGCCGAUAUCUGAUUAGCUAGUUGGUGAGGUAAAGGCUCACCAAGGCGACGAUCAGUAGCUGGUCUGAGAGGACGACCAGCCACACUGGGACUGAGACACGGCCCAGACUCCUACGGGAGGCAGCAGUGGGGAAUUUUGGACAAUGGGCGCAAGCCUGAUCCAGCAAUGCCGCGUGAGUGAAGAAGGCCUUCGGGUUGUAAAGCUCUUUUGUCAGGGAAGAAACGGCUGGGGUUAAUACCUUUGGCUAAUGACGGUACCUGAAGAAUAAGCACCGGCUAACUAC